GACGAACCGUGCGAACGUUAUUCGGAAUCACUGGGCUUAAAGCGCGUGUAGGCGGGACGGCACGUCGGCCGCUGAAAUCCCCCGGCUCAACCGGGGAACCGGCGCCGAUACGACCGCCCUGGAGGGACGUAGGGGGACCUGGAACUUCCGGUGGAGCGGUGAAAUGCGUUGAGAUCGGAAGGAACGCCCGUGGCGAAAGCGAGGUCCUGGACGUUUUUCUGACGCUGAGACGCGAAAGCCAGGGGAGCGAACGGG
rnacentral:rRNA from 1 species